GGAGAAGUCGUAACAAUGUUUUUGUAGGUGAACCUACGGAAGGAUCAUUGUCGUCUUUAAAACCACCACCGGCGAACCAGUCCCGCGAGAACGUCGCUCGCGGUGCGCCGCCCGAGGGUCGACUGGGGACGCGCAUCCCGACGAGCUCCAAACAACAACCCUCUGGGCUCGGCGAGUGCCGAGGAAUCGAAGCGGAAAGGGUGGCCACCUCACCCGGCGUGAGUACACGCCCUGGCCGGGGAUGCAGCACCGCGGUGGGGAUCCGCCGCCCGUUUGUGAAUCUUUUAGACGACUCUUGGCAACGAAUAUCUCGGCUCCGCAUCGAUGAAGAACGUAGCGAAAUGCGAUACUUGGUGUGAAUUGCAGAAUCCCGUGAACCAUCGAGUCUUUGAACCYAAGUUGCGCCUGAGGCCACUCGGUCGAGGGCACGCCUACCUUGGUGUCACACCACCCAUCGCCCCCCCAGCAUUCCCAUGCCUCGCGGGGGAGCGGAGACAGGCCGUCCGUGCUUGGGUCAUCGGCGAGCGGUCGGCAGAAAAGGAGGACAUUGUGCAGCGUGACACAGUGUGUGGGGGUUGAGAGACGACUCGUCGCCAAUCGUACGUCGCGCCUGCAUUCCGCCGCGCGGUGCCACCCAUUGGACCAUACCUGCCCGCAGCCACAGGCUCUCGAACUGCGACCCCAGGUCAGGCAUGGCCACCCGCUGAAUUUAAGCAUAUCAAUAAGCGGAGGA
rnacentral:misc_RNA from 1 species